rnacentral:lncRNA from 1 species
CGUUUUUUUAUGUGUUUCAUAUAUGUUUUUCGUUCUUUUUUGUACAUAAAUAAGGCCGUUAGUUUUGUCGUUUGAAUUGUUUUACAUUGUCAUUUCGGGGCCUUUUAUAGCUGACUAUGCGGUAUGGACUUUGCUCAUUGUUGAAGGUUACCUAUAGUUGUUAAUUUCUGUGUCAUUUUUGGUCUCUUGGAAUCAUACCACAUCUUCUUUUUUUUAUUUAUACGCAAUCAUAGAGGACUUCAGAAUAAAC